AGGCGAAGUCGUCUAAUUCUAAUGAUGAUCAUAUUUGCGAUUGAAGUUGGCAAUAGCAAUAAGCAAUUCUCUGUGUGCCUAUCAAAUCUCUUAAUUUUGAACAAGGCAUCGAACUAGUUGAUGUGUU